rnacentral:miRNA from 1 species
GUCUCCAUGCUACUAGUAUACCAG